CCAAUGCAAAACCUAAAUACAGCGCUUCUUAUCUGACUGGAGAGAGGACGACAGAGAAGAGACGACAGACACUUCACCAUGAUGGGCUGUAACAUGAGACUGUUGCUUUUAACUGUCUGGUGCACAGGUGCUUUUGCCCAGACUUUAACAGAAUCUGAACCAGUGGUUAAAAGGCCUGGACAAUCACACACAUUGACCUGUACAGCCUCUGGAUUAACACUGAGCAGCAACUAUAUGGCAUGGAUCAGACAGCCUCUUGGAAAAGGACUGGAGUGGAUUGCCUGGCACGAUAGCGGCAGUGGUAGCAGGAGAUUCUACUCCCAGUCAGUCCAAGGCCGCUUCACCAUCUCCAGAGACGACAACAGACAGCUGCUGUUGCUGCAGAUGAACAACCUGAAGACUGAAGAUUCUGCUGUUUAUUAUUGUGCUCGAGCGCCACAGUGAUUAAAGCUGUUUUAG